rnacentral:misc_RNA from 1 species
GUGAAUCAUCGAAUCUUUGAACGCAAAUUGCACUCUCUGGUAUUCCGGAGAGCAUGCCUGUUUGAGGGUCAGUAUAAAUAAAAAUCGGUGUGGCUGCUGCCUUUCGUGGUGACACACCGGAUGUGGGUCGUCGUGCCUUCGGUUUAGAGACCUAAAAUUUUGCAUGAUUUUUUCGAACGUAUUUUAA